AGGACCGACGCGGUGUUCAGUCGGCUGCCGGAGGAGGAAGAUGGACGCAGGCACUGACUCUGGCUUUGAAUCUGAAAGGCUCAGGAAGUGGGGUGGCAGGUCCCACUGCCUCAUCCCUACAUGUCCCUGCACAUCUGAUCAUUGUGUAUCUUUGGUUUCAAUAGCUACUCUGACCUAUGACACUCUCCGAUUUGCUGAGUUUGAAGAUUUCCCGGAGACCUCGGAGCCUGUUUGGAUAUUGGGUAGAAAAUACAGCGUCUUCACAGAAAAGGACGAGAUCUUAUCUGAUGUGGCGUCCAGACUCUGGUUUACAUACAGGAAGAACUUCCCAGCCAUUGGGGGGACCGGCCCCACCUCGGACACAGGCUGGGGCUGCAUGCUCCGCUGUGGACAGAUGAUCUUCGCCCAGGCCCUGCUGUGCCGGCACUUAGGCCGAGAUUGGAGGUGGACACAGCGGAAGAGGCAGCCGGACAGCUACUUCCACGUCCUCAACGCAUUCAUCGACAGGAAAGACAGUUACUACUCUAUCCACCAGAUAGCGCAAAUGGGAGUUGGCGAGGGCAAGUCUAUUGGCCAGUGGUACGGGCCCAACACAGUCGCCCAGGUUCUCAAGAAACUUGCUAUCUUCGACACAUGGAGCGCCCUGGCUGUCCACAUAGCAAUGGACAACACGGUGGUGAUGGAGGACAUCAGAAGGUUAUGUAGGAGCAGCCUUCCAUGUGCGGAGGCCACUGCGUUUCCUGCAGACUCUGAAGGGCACUGUAAUGGACUCCCUGCGGGAGCCGAGGUCACCAACAGGCCAUCCCUGUGGCGACCCCUGGUGCUGCUCAUCCCCCUGCGCCUGGGGCUCACGGACAUCAAUGAGGCCUACGUGGAGACGCUGAAGGGCUGUUUCAUGAUGCCUCAGUCCCUGGGAGUGAUUGGAGGGAAGCCCAACAGUGCCCACUACUUCAUCGGCUAUGUGGGUGAGGAGCUCAUCUACUUGGACCCCCACACGACACAGCCAGCUGUGGAGUUAACUGACAGCUUCUUGAUCCCAGAUGAAAGUUUCCACUGCCAGCACCCCCCGAGCAGGAUGAGCAUUGGGGAGCUAGACCCGUCCAUUGCUGUGGGUUUUUUCUGUAAGACUGAGGAUGACUUUAAUGACUGGUGCCAGCAAGUAAAAAAGCUGUCACUGCUUGGAGGUGCCCUGCCCAUGUUUGAGCUGGUGGAGCAGCAGCCUUCCCACCUGGCCUGCCCUGAUGUCCUGAACCUGUCCUUAGGGGCCUUCUCCCUCGGACAGACCCUCAACUCUCUCCAAGUGUACUGAGCAUAUGGCACACAGAAAACGGAGACUUGGCAUUGAGGCUGUGAGCACAUCCAGUUCACACCUCCAUCUGUACCCGGGAAGACCAAUGUGAGGACCAUGAUGAGCCUGUGGAACUGUGUAUUGAAAGUCACUGAGGACAAAGAUGAUGGAGCCCACUGUCCCGUUUCUGUGGAGAUCAUUGAGGAUGAUGACGGAGCCAGCUGUCCCAUUUCCGUGAAGAUCACUGAGGAGGAGGAUGGAGCCCGCUGACCCCUGUCUCUGUGAAGAUCACUGAGGAGAAGGAUGGAGCCAUGACAAUGGAGCCUGCUGCCUGACAGAAACCACAUUGGGGUCAGGGUGCUGGCAUUGAGACUCAGGACAGGUGCCCCAUCUGUCCCAGAUGGUACAGGGUUGGCCCUCCUCUUGGGACUGGUGGCCCUUGCCCUCAGCCCCGUCAUGUGCCCCUAGGCUCUGGUGAGCAAUGUGUCUGCUCCUCCUCUUGGUAAGUUUCUGGCAUCUCUUUCCUGCUUCCAUCCCUGCCAAUGAGGCCCCUGGCCAACUCAGACCUGAAGGCUGCACCUCUGCUGGCAAGAGUCCUGAUGUCCUCUUGCCGCCUACCACCCUGAGCAAGCACCCUUGCCUGUUGGGCACGGUGCCAGGGCCAGCUCCAGCACAAGCAAGCCAGCAGAUUCUUCUGACGUAGAGCGACUGGAAAGAUUCUUUGACUCAGAAGAUGAGGACUUCGAAAUCUUGUCCCUUUGAAAAUCCUAAAGUCGGGGGAUAUCUCGACUGGCCCUUGCUGGGGUGCAUUUGAGAGCCCAGCUUGGCCUCAGGGCGCUUGGUGCCACCGCAUUUCAUCCAUCCUGCCCACCUGCCCACCGCCCAUGUCCUGGCCGCCUCUGCCCUCGACGGGGGACUGCAUUAUGCUCAAGGCCUCACUGCAGGAGUGGGACUGCUUGGCCCAGACACUUCGGGCUGCUGGAGAGAACCAGGAAUCGCAGGGAGCAGAGCAGCGGCAGGGCUUGAGUGUUCACGUCACCUUCGUCCUGCUUCCUUCAGGCUCUCAGUUCUAGGUUUUCUUUGGAAUUAAAGUCCUGUUUGAAGUUACUCGACACAGACAUGCAUUUCUGUUGGGCCUGUUCUGAGUCCAAGAAGACUGGAGACCAAAUGAGAAGUGGCCCUGGGACUAAGCCUGCAAGCCCUCCACCUGCAGCCCUCCCGUGGCUCUACCAGGCUGCCUAGUGGGAGACAGGAAGGAGUGACCACCUGGCAUCUCUUGGCUUUGGAGAGAGAAAUAGCAGAGAGGUAGGGCAUGGUGCAAACCAGAGACCACCAUGCGUGUGACUUGCCAGGAAAGAGCUACAGGUAGAGCCCAAGUGGACUCACUUUCCUCACCUUUUGGUUCCAGCAUUUUGAGACACCCACGUGCUGCUGCUUACUUGUUGCACUGGCUUUCCCUGGGUGGGCGGUGGGUGGUGGGUGAGUGGGGAGCUGCCUUGGUCUGUGAUCCUUGGGCCCAUGCGGGACAUGGGGGCACGGCAAGCCUGGCAGGCAGAGGCUAAGGGCACCACAGAACUGCGCUCCCGGUACUGAAGCUUCAGAUGGUUUGGGGCCAAAGGGUGAAACCCUGCUCAUGGUGCAAGAUAGGCACCCCAUCGCUCAUCACGUCACUUGGAGACAUUUCCAGGUCCUUCUCAGCACUGACUGACAGCACCUGCAGCCCUGAACCCUGAUUGGGCCCAGAGAGCAUGGCUUCCAUGCAGGCUUCGAGUCCUGAAGAGUAGCCUCCGUGAGACCUUCCAACAGGCACCUGGGGAGCUCAGGGAGGUGGCGCCUUCUUCCCAGGGUCUUCCUUGCAGAGCCCCGCCCUCCCUCGGCAUCUGCACCUGGGACCGCGGGCGGGGGCCCACCUGAUGGCAGAGAACACCCAGCCCCUGAGUGUCGCCGACAUAAGUUAAUUUGCUCUUGUCUCUCCCUCCUCCAGGGAAGGAGGAAGGCUGGGCGGUCUCCAUUCCUUCUGCUGCAUCUUGGAAAUGUGCCGCCCUGCCUGCUGGGCCAGGGAGUCUUACUGCAGCCCCCCGUGUGGUGCAGACGGUGGAAGUGGGUGACAGCCUGGCCAAAGGGGAGCUUUGUCUUAGUGAUUUGAGAAGGAUUACUGAAGAGAGUGUUGUCUAUUCUUAGUAGUUUGCAGUUCUUCAUCGCAAAUAACAGUUUCAGUAGAAAACAAA